UUACUUCCUUAUUUUUGACUGUAUAAAAUGAGAAUUCUCAAAUAACAGAAGGAAAAUAUUGAGAAAGGUUUUACUUAAAAGAUGUCUAUGGAAAAGUAUGUUAUUGUUGCCUUCUUGGAGGAGGAUGAUGCAGUUGCAGUUGUGCCUGCAGCUUGGCUGAUCAACAGCGACUUGUGUUAUUGGCCUCCAUAUACCAGUCAAGACAGAAAAAAUAAAGCGGCAAUAAAUUGUGAAAUACCAUCUGAAAAAUGGUCUAAACAUUCUUGUCGAAUUUUAGGGACCAAAGAUUCGUAUGCAAAGGCCAGAUCUGAACUUGGUAAAGCUGAGAUAACAUCAGAUUUAC
rnacentral:lncRNA from 1 species